GUGCCCUUAGCUCAGUUGGAUAGAGCGUCUGACUACGAAUCAGAAGGUCGGGGGUUCGAAUCCCUCAGGGCACA
rnacentral:tRNA from 1 species